rnacentral:rRNA from 1 species
UACGGGGGGGGCAAGCGUUGUUCGGAAUCACUGGGCAUAAAGCGCACGUAGGCGGUGCCGUAAGUCAGAUGUGAAAUCCCUCGGCCCAACCGAGGAACUGCGUCUGAUACUGCGGUGCUUGAGGACCAGAGGGGUGCAUGGAAUUUCCGGUGGAGCGGUGAAAUGCGUUGAUAUCGGAAGGAACUCCGGCGGCGAAAGCGAUGCACUGGCUGGUUUCUGACGCUGAGGUGCGAAAGCCAGGGGAGCAAACGGG